GAAAUGCUAUGGGAUUGGCAAACUUUCCUUUUCUUGACGUCUUUUAAGUCAUGGGCAAUAAUUGCCAUCAGACAAGUUGAAAGUAUAUCUUCAGUCUGUUCAAAAUAAGACUGAAAAAAAAGAAGAAGCAAGGGCUGGAAUGGAUGAUGCAUGCAUUAAUUAUUCUUCCGGAAUUACAAGUGGAACGUUAAUAUCUUCUGUGCAAACUGCAGAUCGAGCAGUGUUUGGAAUACACGUAAGCCACCAUAUCUACAAGAAAUUAUUCAUUCAACUCACAAGUACAAUGUGAUAAGAAGAUGGGAAAUCCCGUGAUGACUUUAGCUCAGUUCCCAGGUUGCGGGAAUACGUGUAAAUCCUUCCAGUUCGGCAAUUGUUCAAUAAAGGUAAAGAAUCUUGUCCAACACUUGCUGUAUACUGAAAAAUUUUGCUGAGGGAAAUGCAAGAUGUGGUAUAAAAGAUGGAUUGUUCCAGGUACACAUGAUCAGCAUCUUUUGUGCUUGUUUAGGAAGGUUAGCACAUGCUGGUUGAACUUAUCAGGAAAUUGCUCUUGAACAAAGUGGCUUCCUUCUGGUAUGACAAUUACCUUCAGAUCAGGAACAUAUUCUUUGACCUUUCCACUAGUCAUAUAUUCUCCUAGACCUGUAAUUUUCAAGACACAGUCAUUUUCUCCCUUUAUAAGCAGGGAAGGAACAGUAAUUUUAGGAUUAUCAAACCGCUACAGGUUCUAACCAAGCCCUGCAGCAGACCAAUAAAUACAUACUUGUUGAAACAAAAACAUUGCAAAAAUUUCAGAAAGUCAUAUUUUCAGUAUUUGAUGAUUUUGAUUGUUAGAAAUUUAUUUCCUUUUUGCCUAUAUGCAUGGGACCUGCAGUGCAGUUCUAAAACCGGAUUUCUUAUAUAGGCUUUGCGUAUUUGUCGAGAUCUUCUUCACUAAACCUAGAAGGUAAUGGCACGGAUGGAUCAACUAAGUCCAAGAUUUCCUUGAUUUCAAUACUUGGUACCAUCUGAGGCUCAAGAGAAUCAAGAAUUGCCAGAAGAUCAUCCACAAGGUCCUUAAAAGUUGUCUUUUCUGGCUCUGCAGGGACUUCAGAAAGCCCAUAGCCUCUGAAAUCAGGUCCAAUUGCCCGAAACCCAGGCUUGGCAACUGCCAGCAUGCAACUUUUCCAGUUUUGAUUUCAGUCUCAACUGUUGAUGCUCAAUCCCAAGCUCAUGAAACACUACUAGUACUUUGAAUCCAUGUAUGCACUACGAUUUUACAUUAAUUAUUUUAGUUCUACGUACCGACCUUUCAAUCCA